AAAAAAUGCCUAGGCUUCCUCUUCUUUGGGCCUAACAACUUUCAUAACAAAUAUAUAUGAAAGAUGAGUUUUGGGCUACCACUUAGAAAGGAAAAUGGUGAAGUUUUGUUACUUUGGAAACUUAGCUACUAGCAAAACACCUCAUUCAUCAACUCCCUCGACCGAAGACUUGGGGGACUCCUACCAUAUGCUACUGCACCUUGAUACUCGAAAGUCUCACGACCACUCAGUGACUUGGAUUUUUUCAAGUCUUCAACCGAGAAGUUUUCCUCACUCGGGAAAUUAAGGGAGUACAACCUCAACCUACAUGCUUCACUCACAAAGCUUCAACAUACAAGAUUCAACAAAAGGAAAAAUUCAAAGAACUUAGUGAAGAAGGUCUUGGUGUAUUUAACACAAUACGUUGAAAUGAAGCAAAACUUGUUUAUUGAUAUCUCCGAUAAGUUACAAAUA
rnacentral:lncRNA from 1 species